rnacentral:rRNA from 1 species
AGUGAACGCUGGCGGUAGGCCUAACACAUGCAAGUCGAACGGCAGCACAGUAAGAGCUUGCUCUUACGGGUGGCGAGUGGCGGACGAGUGAGGAAUACAUCGGAAUCUACUUUUUCGUGGGGGAUAACGUAGGGAAACUUACGCUAAUACAGCAUACGACCUACGGGUGAAAGCAGGGGAUCUUCGGACCUUGCGCGAUUGAAUGAGCCGAUGUCGGAUUAGCUAGUUGGCGGGGUAAAGGCCCACCAAGGCGACGAUGCGUAGCUGGUGUGAGAGGAUGAUCAGCCCCACUGGAGCUGGGACACGGUCCAGACUCCUACGGGAGGCAGCAGUGGGGACUAUUGGACAAUGGGCGCAAGCCUGAUCCAGCCAUACCGCGUGGGUGCAGAAGGCCUUCGGGUUGUAAAGCCCUUUUGUUGGUAAAGAAAAGCAGCAGGUUAAUCCCCCGCUGUUCUGACGGUACCCAAAGAAUAAGCACCGGCUAACUUCGUG